AUCAUGGCUCAGAUUGAACGCUGGCGGCAGGCCUAACACAUGCAAGUCGAACGGUAACAGGAAACAGCUUGCUGUUUCGCUGACGAGUGGCGGACGGGUGAGUAAUGUCUGGGAAACUGCCUGAUGGAGGGGGAUAACUACUGGAAACGGUAGCUAAUACCGCAUAACGUCGCAAGACCAAAGAGGGGGACCUUCGGGCCUCUUGCCAUCAGAUGUGCCCAGAUGGGAUUAGCUAGUAGGUGGGGUAACGGCUCACCUAGGCGACGAUCCCUAGCUGGUCUGAGAGGAUGACCAGCCACACUGGAACUGAGACACGGUCCAGACUCCUACGGGAGGCAGCAGUGGGGAAUAUUGCACAAUGGGCGCAAGCCUGAUGCAGCCAUGCCGCGUGUAUGAAGAAGGCCUUCGGGUUGUAAAGUACUUUCAGCGGGGAGGAAGGGAGUAAAGUUAAUACCUUUGCUCAUUGACGUUACCCGCAGAAGAAGCACCGGCUAACUCCGUGCCAGCAGCCGCGGUAAUACGGAGGGUGCAAGCGUUAAUCGGAAUUACUGGGCGUAAAGCGCACGCAGGCGGUUUGUUAAGUCAGAUGUGAAAUCCCCGGGCUCAACCUGGGAACUGCAUCUGAUACUGGCAAGCUUGAGUCUCGUAGAGGGGGGUAGAAUUCCAGGUGUAGCGGUGAAAUGCGUAGAGAUCUGGAGGAAUACCGGUGGCGAAGGCGGCCCCCUGGACGAAGACUGACGCUCAGGUGCGAAAGCGUGGGGAGCAAACAGGAUUAGAUACCCUGGUAGUCCACGCCGUAAACGAUGUCGACUUGGAGGUUGUGCCCUUGAGGCGUGGCUUCCGGAGCUAACGCGUUAAGUCGACCGCCUGGGGAGUACGGCCGCAAGGUUAAAACUCAAAUGAAUUGACGGGGGCCCGCACAAGCGGUGGAGCAUGUGGUUUAAUUCGAUGCAACGCGAAGAACCUUACCUGGUCUUGACAUCCACGGAAGUUUUCAGAGAUGAGAAUGUGCCUUCGGGAACCGUGAGACAGGUGCUGCAUGGCUGUCGUCAGCUCGUGUUGUGAAAUGUUGGGUUAAGUCCCGCAACGAGCGCAACCCUUAUCCUUUGUUGCCAGCGGUCCGGCCGGGAACUCAAAGGAGACUGCCAGUGAUAAACUGGAGGAAGGUGGGGAUGACGUCAAGUCAUCAUGGCCCUUACGACCAGGGCUACACACGUGCUACAAUGGCGCAUACAAAGAGAAGCGACCUCGCGAGAGCAAGCGGACCUCAUAAAGUGCGUCGUAGUCCGGAUUGGAGUCUGCAACUCGACUCCAUGAAGUCGGAAUCGCUAGUAAUCGUGGAUCAGAAUGCCACGGUGAAUACGUUCCCGGGCCUUGUACACACCGCCCGUCACACCAUGGGAGUGGGUUGCAAAAGAAGUAGGUAGCUUAACCUUCGGGAGGGCGCUUACCACUUUGUGAUUCAUGACUGGGGUGAAGUCGUAACAAGGUAACCGUAGGGGAACCUGCGGUUG
rnacentral:rRNA from 1 species